CCUAAUUGAAAUGAAACUGCGCGCGCCACUCUUCCACAGCGAUCGGAAACCACAAAUAGUUCACAAGUCAAGAAAGAGAAGAAAUUUUGACAGAAGACGACUCAGAUAGUUCACAAGUCUAUUACUCUAAGUCGAUUAUAAGAUGCUUGUAAAGAUUGAUGGUUUUGAGCAGUUAAGAAAUGGAACCAUUAGGCUUGAAGAUUUGGGAUCUGUUUUAACUUUUUUAUGCGUUUAAAUUGCUCCAAAUAUUCUUUUGAUGGCUGGAUCACGUUGUGCGUAUGAAGAUGUUUGCCCCUCUUUGGAUGAACAUACAUAAUCUUUUCUUUCGGGAUCAAUAUCAUUUGGGAGAUAUGAAAUUGAAGAUGUAUGUUGGGAGAACAGACAAAUCUGAGUUAUGAAAGUUCACGUUGUAUAGGACUUUCGCUCUUUUGACAAAUAGAAGAGGCUCAAAUAUCAAAAGAGACAAGGAAUGCACGUAUAAAUGUGUUAUCCUGUUUUAGAGGAAUGAAGACUUUACAAUUUUUAGUACUAGUUUUGUUUGUAUAGUUUAAGUAGUUUAUUUUAUUUGGUAUGGUUUUUGUGUUUUGAGUUUAAGUAGUAGUUCAUUCCAUUUGUAUGAAUUUUGUUUCAAUACAUGUAAGAUUUUGGUGUAAGACCAAUAGAUACUUUGAAGUUUUGUCUAUUCAAAUUUGAUAUUUUAAUGAGUUAUUUAUACAUUUUAUUGGAUGAUUAA